GCGGGUGUGAGAUUGCUGAGUCCUCGUGACUCACAGAUACUUCCAAAACCAGUUUGCAGGUGCCUAUGUUACCGAGCAGGUGACGCAACCAAGCUCAAGGAGGAGCUCGAUGAAGAUCUUGCCCUUUGUGUUGUUUCGUUCUAGUUGAUCAGUAGUGGAGCCCAGUUGGGGUCGAUCGGGGACCUUUGUCGCAUUUGGGGUUCUUCUUUUAUUUUGGUUCCGUAGUCGGACCUUGAUUGUAUCUGGAUGAUGUAAUGCUUUAUUCAUGUAACUGUGUGAAGUGGCAAUUGUAAGCCAACUAUGUAUCUCUUUCCCUUAUGUAUUACAUGGGUUGUGUGAAGAUUACCUCACUUGCGACAUUGCUUUCAAUGCGGUUAUGCCUCUAAGUCGUGCUUCGACACGUGGGAGAUAUAGCCGCAUCGAGGGCAUUACAAGUUGGUAAUCAGAGCCUUCCCCGACCUUAGGAGCCCCACUGCUUGAUCGUUUUAGCGGCCGAGUUGUGUCUAGAAAAAUGUUUUGAGUCAUUUAGGAUUAUAUAUAUCGGAGAGUUAGGAAUUCUUUUUACUCCCCAAUCUCUUCAUCGCUCUGGUAAGGCAUCCUGACGUAGAGUUUUGACUCUUCUCUUCUCAAAUUUCACUAAAAAAAUUUUAGGAUCACGCGGGUAUCUUGGAAUCGUUCCGAUGGUUUUAUGAUGAGAACAUUGUCUUGGUGCCUCCUAUCAGGGGUUUAGUGGAAGUGUCCCAGGGAGUUGAGCUCUGAGGUGUUGUUGUCAUAAUUUUAUCGUUGCAGUUCUGGAAUACCUGAGUUUAGUACGCUGACAUCGAAAAUCUCUUUUAUGCAGUUGUUGGUGAGAUAACCCCGAUAACCCAGUACUGAGGUGAGUACGGGAGUAUCACCAUAACUUGUAUAACGGAUGCUUUUUGAAGGUUGAGGUAGACGAUUUCCGAAGGUUUCUUGGUUAUGUGUUGAAGGAUGGAUACAGCUGGAUGUAGGAUUUGCUAGUUUUGGGUGAGAUAUUAUGCUUCCCCUGUAUCCCCAACACCUGAUUGCAUAACCGGAAAAUUUCGGGACUUUCGUAGGUGGGAAUUCAAGUAGCUCUUAGGAUAUCUUUCUGACGGAUGUAUGAUAUGAAACUGGGGUUCGACGUCUAGUGGUCCGCCUAUUCACGGUUGGUUUUACAGUGGUCUCAUUGUGUCUUAAAGAGUCCUUGGCUAUGCCGACUCGGGGACGCUUCGUAUGUCAUGUGCACUGCCUUGUACAUGAUGGUGCUGUACGAUCGAGCCCGUGUAGGCCCCACCAUGAAAACUUUGGACGAAAUCUCUAUCAUAUGUUUUUUCUGGCUUAUUCUGCAAGCCAGUCCUUUGUUUUUGUUUUGAGUUGUGGUAUUCGAGUUGCUUCAAUGUCAAGUGUUGAUUCCAUACCUUUCCGAAAUGGUGUUCUCAUACUCCGAUGUGAAUACCAAUCCUUCUCGACAAUCGAGAUUGUCAUGUCAAUCCUUUUCAACCGGCGUGUUUCUCUUCAAGUGGAUCCGAUCACUUCAACAUCAGCAAGACCAAUUAUCAUUUCUUCUCAACGGUGUUUGUUUCAUCCGUCUCCAAGUUGCCUUUGUUUUUUCCCGCCCACCCACCCUUUUCUUCAAGGACUCAGAUUUCUUAAUCAAGUAUCCUUUUAUUGAUGCGAAGUCUCUACAUUCUUUUCCGUCAAUGUUCUUAUCCGGUGAUCCCUCGUGAAGAUUCUCACGAGCUUCAAGUUCAUUAUUCUUCGUCUCUUUUCUUCUCCGGUGGAUUCAAGUCAAGUUUUGUUGAUCAUACAUUUUUCCUCAUUUCAAUGUCUUCUCAUACCGGUGCACCUCAUUAUCAUUCUACUUCUCGCUAUUUGUUAUUCCGGAGUGCUCAAGAUAUCUCGAAGAUUCGUGUUUCCACUCUGCAUUCGUUCAAGCUCUUUCGAGAUUGGUAUCUCAUUCAAGUCAUUUAAUUCAACCGGUGCAACAUCUCUUUUAAAUCUUUUCAACAGUGUUCUUUUGAGUGGGCCCUAACCCACAGGUCUUUUCCCAGGAUCUUACCUGACUCUUCUAUUUUCCCAGAGCUAUCCUAAAUUCUUCUCCAAGUUUGACGUAAGACUGAGUUAUCAUCAGUCAAAUGCUUUUCUCCAAGAUCUUUCAAAUUCUUUUCAUAGUUGGCUCAACCUCUUCGCUUUUGAUUCUUCCGGUGUCCCUCAAUAAUUCUUGGUGGUGUUUCUCGUUGUCAUUCUCAUCAUUUGAAGACCGAAGAAGAGUUUCUCUUUAAUCUUGCUCUAUUCUCUUCAAGAUUCAUGGUGCUAGCUUGUUGCCAUCCUCUCAUAAUUGUUUUCGAUUGUGAGAAUCUCUUUCACCCAUCCGGAGCAUUUUAGGAGUCUUUUCAGUUUCAUUCUCCGGAGCCAAUCAUCUCAGAAUUAUUCAUUCCCAGCUUUCAGCUCUCGUUCUCAAAUUCUUCCGGUGCAUCGUUCAAAUACCCUCUAAUCAGUUCAUGAUCUCUUCGUUCUCAUGUAUCUAAAUCCCUUCAAGUAUCUUCAAUCGUUUUCAAUUUCUUCCUGGUGAAUUGUGCCUUUGCUACUUUCAUUUUCAAUUCUUACGGUGGUUCUUUCAAGAUUUUUUUCUUUGAUUAUCAUAUUAAUUCAUUCGUUCUUUUCAAUCCUACCGGUGGUUCAUGAAGACCUUCUCAAGUUUACGCUAUAUCCCUCUUAAUCCUUUUUCAAUGGGAAUAAGUAGUAUGCCAAAUCUGUUGCUUGUCAUCAAUUUAAAUUGGUGAAGGAUACGCAUAACAUAAUUCUUAUUCUGGUUUCAUCCAAGUGAUUAAUCCUUUCCUUUGGAGUUUGUUCAGGAGUAAUAAAUUCUUGGCUUCUUGUUGUUCAUCUUUCUUCCGGAGUUCUAACUUUUCCGCAUUAUCUCGUCGCGAAGCUCCAUCUAAAUCAUCGCAAGGCUUCACCUUGUGUUUUCAACUUCUCUUUCUUUUUAUCAUCCGUUUAUUACCGGAGUGGUGGUUCGUCAAGGAUUCUUUUCAUUCUUCAAUUGUUCUUCAAGAUUUCUCUUGAAGUUAAGAUCAGCCAAGCUAUACUCAAAAAUUAAACAUGGUGUUCAACACAUGUCUUGUUUUGAGGAGUUCAAGCAUUCUUCAUCUUGCAUUCCAAAGUGCAAUUCUUUCUACCUUAUCUCCUGAGGUGGUGUUAGGUCAUUCUUGAUAAUUUUCCCUUCGCGUUUCAUGAUUCACAAGUUUUCAAGAGUGACAUAUUUAUAUCCAUCAUUUUCUCUUGUUCAAGAGAUCUUUUCAACCGUCAAUCUCUUCAUUGGAGUUAUCAUUGUAUAGAUUUCACCUAAAGCCUUCCCUAAGGAAUCUUGCUAUUGUGGUGCUUAAAAAUGAUCCAAGUUAUCUCUUUAUCAUCUUGGUGGAAGAAGUUUUUCAUCUCUUUGGUGCUCUCAAUCAAAUCAAUCAUUUCCGUUAGUGGCCGUUUGUCACCUCAUAAUUUUGAGAUGUUUCCAUAAGCCCACUACAAGCUUAUUCUUUUCGUUUCGUUGUUGGUUUUCCAACAACUCCGUUCAAUCCUUCUUUUUAAAGAUGCUCUCUCAAAUUCAUUUGAGGUAGUACAUGUUGUUUUCUUCUCCAUUCUUUUAUUCCAAUGAUCUAUCUUCUAUUCUUUCUCCCGGAGGCUUUGUGAUGUUCCUCUCUUCACUCAUCAUCUCGAAUUGUGAGGAUCGUGUUCUUUUCAUGCAUAUCCAUUUAACCGGAGUGUUGUGUCAUCUCUUCAAGUUCUUUUCAUUUCAUCAAGUUUCUCUUCUCUUUUCUACCGGAGUGCUGUCCAAAUUGUGUCAUUCUUGUUCCUUGGCUAUCUCAUUAUACCGAGGUGGUCAUAUUCUUUUCGUUCGUGAAGCUCUUAUUUCCAUGUCUUUCAACUUUCAAGUUCCCGUAAUGUUCCUUGUUCCUCUUUUCCAACGGAUUGUUUGCAAUCUCGUUCAUCUUUGUUGUACUCUUUCUUUUAAAUUGCUCAACCGCUCAAGGUUCGUGGUUUCACUCGUUUGUCAAAGAAGCAACUUAGUUUUACCUCUUCUCUUCCUCUUUCGUUUCCCUCCGGUGCCAUCCUAGAUCUCGGGACGAGAUCCUCUCGUAGUGGUGGAGUGUUGUAACGCCCCGGAUACAACUUUCCAUAUUCGUAACUCCAACUCUUGCCAUUUCCGGCGAUGUGAUAUUUUAUUUCCUCCGUGGUUGGAUUUUUGUUUUUUUUGUUUUGCAUUUUGUUCAUGUGUUGCAUUUCAUCUCAUAGCAUCAUGCGCUUUGCAUCUGCAUGUUUUCAUAAAACUCGUAGUCGUUCAUAGUUGCCCUUUCUCUCUUUGCCUCCAUUGUUAUUUUGUCAGACCCUUAUCCUCGUUGACCUCUCUCAGACCCUCGUGUGCGUGUCCGAAACUUACCCGAACCUGACCCGUUCUGUCGUUACCGUUGGAUCCGGAUCAUCCCCAAACAUCUAUAAAACAUCUCUGUUUUCUUAUUUGGGCUCCCCAACCUAUUUAUCUCGACCGUUUGAUUUUAAUCGGAGGGUCCGAUUAGCCCCUAUCCAAAAUCCUUGCUAUAUAUACUGCCUAACCCUAGUUUCUAGGAGAGUUGUCCCAUCCUCCAAAUCCCUCCGCCGCCGCCGCCAGUUUGUCUCUCCUCGAUUUCUUCCCUGCCCAACCAGCCACACCCUCAUCGGGAUCCCUCCCGAUCCACCCAUUCCACUAACCAGAGCCUCCUCUGCUCAAUCCCGAGGGGAUCACGAGCAGUUCGUCCCUGCCGGCGACCGAUCCAACAGGUCCCAGUGCAAUAGCACCCGAUCCUCUCGGCCUCCACCUCUCCAGCAGUGCCCGCAGCCAGCUUCUUCCCCGAGUUCCCCGCUCCCGUUCGUGUCCAGCACCUCGAGCCCUCGGUCCAGCGCAGGCGCCCGAGCGCCUCCUUUCAUCGUCCCCGUGCUAAUCCGCCAGGUCAUGCUGCAGCUUCCCGUCGCCUCAGCAUCCUCCAUGGCCGCGCCUCCCUCUCCCAUCUCCGGCCAGAUCCAUGGCCUAGGGACCAAAUCAGCAGCCGCCCGUUGUACCCUUCUUCACCGGACCUCCUUCCCCGCGCCGAGACCCGUUGCCGUCGCCCCUGCAUCCUCUGCUUCGGGCAGGAGGACGAGCGCUCGACCGUGCGUGUUGACUGCGCCCCUGCUUCGUCCUCGUGCCUGUCGGGCCUCCUCUGCUUUGACCCAGCUCCGCGCCCCACCUGUUUCCCCUUCGGCCUCCAAGGCGAGCUCAAGCCGGCCCAAGCCAGAUCCGGCCUGCCCUGCCUCCUCCACCGACUGGGCCAGAGCCCAUGGUGAGGCCACCCCCAGCCCUCUCCUGUAUGUUGUUGGCCCAGCAGAUUUGGCCCAUGCAUGUUUUUUUUCCUGCUGCGAAUUUAAGCAUAUCCUGUGAUUUACCAGUUUUACAGAUUGACCCCUGUUGUUCAUGCAUAUAAAAACUCCACAACCGUGCAUCGGAUUUAAAUGAUUUAAAUAUGAAAAAUGCUUAGUUUUUCAUCUAGAUUAAUAAUAUGCCAUUUUCGUCCCAUGUUGAAAUGUUUAAAAUGUUGUUUGUUUAAAUUUGCUUAAAUGACAUGCUAAAAUGAUUUAUUUCAUAACUAAAUAACCGUAGCUCCAUUUUAAAUAAACUUCAUAUGUAAAUGGGGUGGAAAAAUGCCUAGUUUAAUAUGGUCCACUUUAUUUUCCUGUUUAACAACAUUAAAAUAUGUUUUAGGGCAGAACAGUACCAAAUUCAAAUAUUGCUCAUGAGGAUUUUCCGGAAUUGUUGUUCGUUGUUCCGGCCUCAUUUAAACUUGCCUAGAUAGGUAGUUUUCAUUUGCUUCACCCUCUUGCCAUGUUUAACAAUAUUUAAUAUUGUUGGGUACAUAACAAGAGAGAACUAAAUAAGUCAUGUGGUGUUUUCUUCAAUAUGCCACUCCGUUGCAUAUUGAGCUCCACUUAAUUUGUAAGAUAGUUUUGUGCAUUUUGCCAUGCCAUGUUUCAUUAAACCGGACAUGCAUCAUACUUGUUUCCGCACCGUGCCAUGAUUAUGUGUUGGUUAUUUACUAGGUUGUUUGCUCUUUUCCGGUGUUGCUUCUUCGGGUUGGUUUCGAUUAACGUCGCGUUUGUGAGGAUCCGUUCAUCUACGACCAUUUGUCUUCUUCUUGGACUCGUUCUUCUUCCUAGCGGGAUUUCAGGAAAGAUGACCAUACCCUCGAAAUCACUACUAUCUUUGCUAUGCUAGUUUGCUCGCUCUUUUGCUAUGCCAAUGCUACGAUGCCUACCAUUUGCUUGUCAGCCUCCCAAAUUGCCAUGUCAAACCUCUAACCCACCAUGUCCUAGCAAACCGUUGAUUGGCUAUGUUACCGCUUUGCUCAGCCCCUCUUAUAGCGUUGUUAGUUGCAGGUGAAGAUUGAAGUUUGUUCCUUGUUGGAACAUGGAGAUGUUGUUCCCUGUUGGAACAUGUUUACUUGUUGGGAUAUCACAAUAUAUCUUAUUUAGUUAAUGCAUCUAUAUACUUGGUAAAGGAUGGAAGGCUCGGCCUUAUGCCUGGUGUUUUGUUCCACUCUUGCCGCCCUAGUUUCCGUCAUACCGGUGUUAUGUUCCCGGAUUUUGCGUUCCUUACGCGGUUGGGCUAUAAUGGGAACCCCUUGAUAGUUCGCCUUAAGUAAAGCUCCUCCAGCAAUGCCCAACAUUGGUUUUACCGUUUGCACUAACAACCUACCACCUUCCCUUGGGUUCUGCAGACUCAAGGGUCAUCUUUAUUCUAACCCCCCCGGGCCAGUGCUCCUCUGAGUGUUGGUCCGAACUGAGCUGCCUGCGGGGCCACCUCGGGGACACUUGAGGGUUGGUUUUACUCGUAGCUAGUCUCAUCUGAGUGUGCCCUGAGAAAGAGAUAUGUGCAGCUCCUAUCGGGAUUUGUCGGCACAUUCGGGCGGUGUUGCUGGUUUAGUUUUACCCUGUCGAAAUGUCUUGUUGUACCGAGAUACCGAGUCUGAUCGGAGUGUCUCGGGUGGAGGUCUAUUCCUUCGUUGACCGUGAGAGCUUGUCAUGGGCUAAGUUGGGACACCCCUGCAGGGAUUUAAACUUUCGAGAGCCGUGCCCGCGGUUAUGUGGCAGAUGGGAAUUUGUUAACGUCCGGUUGUAGAAUACCCGAAGUUGACCUUAAUUAAAAUACAUCAACCGCGUGUGUAACCGUGAUGGUCUCUUCUCAGCGGAGUCCGGGAAGUGAACACGGUGUUGGAGUUAUGUUUGACGUAAGUAGUUUCAGGAUCACUUCUUGAUCGCUACUAGCUUCACGACCGUGCCUUGCUUCUCUUCUCGCUCUCUUUUGCGAUUGUAGCCACCAUAUAUGCUAGUCGCUUGCUGCAGCUCCACCUCAUUACUCCAUCCUUCCUAUAAGCUUAAAUAGUCUUGAUCUCGCGGGUGUGAGAUUGCUGAGUCCUCGUGACUCACAGAUACUUCCAAAACCAGUUUGCAGGUGCCUAUGUUACCGAGCAGGUGACGCAACCAAGCUCAAGGAGGAGCUCGAUGAAGAUCUUGCCCUUUGUGUUGUUUCGUUCUAGUUGAUCGGUAGUGGAGCCCAGUUGGGGUCGAUCGGGGACCUUUGUCGCAUUUGGGGUUCUUCUUUUAUUUUGGUUCCGUAGUCGGACCUUGAUUGUAUCUGGAUGAUGUAAUGCUUUAUUCAUGUAAUUGUGUGAAGUGGCGAUUGUAAGCCAACUAUGUAUCUCUUUCCCUUAUGUAUUACAUGGG
rnacentral:lncRNA from 1 species